AGAUUGAACGCUAGCGGGAUGCUUUACACAUGCAAGUCGAACGGCAGCGCGGACUUCGGUCUGGCGGCGAGUGGCGAACGGGUGAGUAAUAUAUCGGAACGUGCCCAGUAGCGGGGGAUAACUACGCGAAAGCGUGGCUAAUACCGCAUACGCCCUACGGGGGAAAGGGGGGGAUUCUUCGGGACCUCUCACUAUUGGAGCGGCCGAUAUCAGAUUAGCUAGUUGGUGAGGUAAAGGCUCACCAAGGCGACGAUCUGUAGCUGGUUUGAGAGGACGACCAGCCACACUGGGACUGAGACACGGCCCAGACUCCGUACGGGAGGCAGCAGGUGGGAAUUUGGACAAGUAGGGGAACCUGAUCCAGCCAUCCCGCGUGUGCGAGUCGAAGGUCCGUUCGGGUUAGGUAAGUACUACGUUUGGUCGUAGGAAGAAACGGACGUCGACCCGUAAGUACGGACGUCGUA
rnacentral:rRNA from 1 species